rnacentral:rRNA from 1 species
UACGGAGGGUGCGAGCGUUGUCCGGAAUCAUUGGGCGUAAAGGGCGCGUAGGUGGCCCGGUCAGUUCGUGGUGAAAGCGCGGGGCUCAACCCUGCGUCGGCCAUGAAUACUGCCGCGGCUGGAGCACUGUAGAGGCAGGCGGAAUUCCGGGUGUAGCGGUGGAAUACGUAGAGAUCCGGAAGAACACCGGUGGCGAAGGCGGCCUGCUGGGCAGUGCUGACACUGAGGCGCGGACAGCGUGGGGAGCAAACAGG